AUUCCAGCUCCAAUAGCGUAUAUUAAAGUUGCUGCAGUUAAAAAGCUCGUAGUUGAAUCUCGGGUGCAGGCUUGCGGUCCGUCUCGCGGCGGUCACUGCUCGUCCUGGCCUCCACGCCGGCGUACCGUCCCUUGGUGCUCUUGACUGAGUGUCUCGGGCGGCCGGAACGUUUACUUUGAAGAAAUUAGAGUGCUCAAAGCAGGCCUUGGCCGCCUGCAUAAUGGUGCAUGGAAUAAUGGAAUAGGACCUCGGUUCUAUUUUGUUGGUUUUCGGAGCUCGAGGUAAUGAUUAACAGGGACUGACGGGGGCAUUCGUAUUGCGGCGCUAGAGGUGAAAUUCUUAGACCGUCGCAAGACGAACUACAGCGAAAGCAUUUGCCAAGCAUGUUUUCAUUA
rnacentral:rRNA from 1 species